CGGAUGGUGGAGGUCAGGUACCUACAUAUGCUCUGUCCGGUCACCCAGGUUCUUCUCCCUUCUUCCUCCAGCAGUACUGCAGUAGCAUCAAGAGCUACGCUUCUCCACUAUGUCGCCCCUCAUAUUCAAUUUUGAUGCAGAUUUCCCUUUCCCAAUACAAUCCCUUGACACUUAAUAUAUGUACUCUGGUCGGGCUCCUGCUGAUGCUGAUUUCCGCUUUUAAUUUGUUGCAGUUAUUGUUGCCCAAGUGUUUGUGAUUGCUUCUAGCUUAUUGGUUCAACAAAUUUCUGCAGCAUCUCAAAAAAAAAUUUGCAGGGUGUUUCUGGGGUUAAUUUUGUUCCUGAAUUCUAAAACUGAGGAUCCCAAUGGCUGCUCAAAGUUCUUGCAAAGAAGAAAGGAUUGUUGAAUGUUUGGUGCUUCCAGUAUGUGCCUGAUUGUGGAGGAGAUGUUGGAGAUGGGGAUGUGGCUUCUCCAACUUCAGAAUGUAGUGUAAUUAAACGGCUUCUUGCAGUUUAGUCUUUUUUGGUUACUUCAGAAUGUAGCGUAAUUAAACGGCUUCUUGCAUUCCAGUUAAGUAAAGUCUCUUUUGCACUCUAUCUGCAACUCUCUCCUUUGGGGGUAUUGGAAUUAUUUUCAGUAUGAUUGAAUUGA